rnacentral:rRNA from 1 species
AGAUUGAACGCUGGCGGGAUGCUUUACACAUGCAAGUCGAACGGCAGCGCGGACUUCGGUCUGGCGGCGAGUGGCGAACGGGUGAGUAAUAUAUCGGAACGUGCCCAGUAGCGGGGGAUAACUACGCGAAAGCGUGGCUAAUACCGCAUACGCCCUACGGGGGAAAGGGGGGAUCGCAAGACCUCUCACUAUUGGAGCGGCCGAUAUCAGAUUAGCUAGUUGGUGAGGUAAAGGCUCACCAAGGCGACGAUCUGUAGCUGGUUUGAGAGGACGACCAGCCACACUGGGACUGAGACACGGCCCAGACUCCUACGGGAGCAGCAGUGGGGAAUUU